GACGAACGCUGGCGGCGUGCCUAAUACAUGCAAGUAGAACGCACAGUUUAUACCGUAGCUUGCUACACCAUAGACUGUGAGUUGCGAACGGGUGAGUAACGCGUAGGUAACCUGCCUGGUAGCGGGGGAUAACUAUUGGAAACGAUAGCUAAUACCGCAUAAUAUUAAUUAUUGCAUGAUAAUUAAUUGAAAGGUGCAAUUGCACCACUACCAGAUGGACCUGCGUUGUAUUAGCUAGUAGGUGAGGUAACGGCUCACCUAGGCGACGAUACAUAGCCGACCAGAGAGGGUGGUCGGCCACACUGGGACUGAGACACGGCCCAGACUCCUACGGGAGGCAGCAGUAGGGAAUCUUCGGCAAUGGACGAAAGUCUGACCGAGCAACGCCGCGUGAGUGAAGAAGGGUUUCGGAUCGUAAAGCUCUGUUGUAAGAGAAGAACGGGUGUGAGAGUGGAAAGUUCACACUGUGACGGUAUCUGACCAGAAAGGGACGGCUAACUACGUG
rnacentral:rRNA from 1 species